UGAACCACCCCAGGCCCUUUGCACCUGCUAUUCCCUCUCCUCAGCAUGCUCUGCCCCAGACAAUUGCAGUGCUAACUUACUUCCUUCAGGUUUCACUCAGAAAUGACUUUCUCAGUGGGGUCUCCCAUGACCAUUCUAUUUAAGAUUUCAACUACUUUGCCCGCAUUUCACUUCCCCUCCCUUGAUCUUUUCUUCCAAGCACUCACUGCCCUCUCACACACUGUAUCUUUUACUUAUUUAUCUUGUUCAGUUUCUGCCUGCCUCACCACAGUGUACAUUUCACAAGGGCAGGGAUUUUGUCUGUUUUGUUGAUUGCUGUAGCCCUGGCAUCUUGAGCAGUGCCAGCACCUGGUAGCAUUAAAUAAAUAUUUACUGAAUGAAUGAGUGGCUUCGUGCUUAAAAGCAAGAAGAGAGACCUUCAUAGAGAAGUAGGAAAAUGAAAUGUUGCACAGAUAAAGGGCCAUGUAAUGAGAGAGAGAGAGAGAGAGCAAGAGAAAGAGCAAACAAUUAAGGAGCAGCAGUGGCUUCCUGCAGGGGAGACCAAUGCCUUCUGUCCUCUGCGGAAACAGCUUGGCAUUCUUCCAAUUGAUGAAUGGCAUGGACCAGGAGCACCAGUUAUCUUCAGCUUCUGAGCAUCCGAAUAAAUAAACAUACAAAUGCCUAACAUAAAAUAAAUUCAAAUUACAAACGAGAAAACCAAUCUAGGUUACCAGCAAGUCCUAUGACUUGAUGUGGAGGCCUGGAAGUGCAUCCUUGAACCUUGCAAUGCAGUGAGCCAAAGAGCGAUAAGAGGCCACAUGAAUAACUGGGCCAGUGACAAGACACAUGUCCUCCUCCUUGCGGGUAUACACCAGAAUGCCCUGCAUCCAGCGAAUGCUCAAAAAGUGUUGGUGGAAGUGACAGAAUUCCAUCAUCAUUAAACACAACCGGUGUUGCAGUUGACAAUGGCAUUGAAGCAGGUGAAAAAUCAGUACAGCAGCUUCUGUCUUGGAAGAGUUUGCAGCCUCCUGAAGAGGGUUUACAGGUAAAAAACGACCCAGGCUGAUAGGGCCGCUACCAUUUGGAAAGUGACAAGAGGAAGAGAGAGAAUGAAACAAAAGUAAGCACUGGCUCUCAGCUUCUACCUGAAGAGACAAACAUUGCUUUCACUUACAUUUCACUGGCCAAAUCAGACCCAUGGCAACAAUUGAGUUCAAAAGCAUAAGGAGGUAUCUGGAAGGAAGAGAAUCAGAAAAUUUCUGAUGAGCCUCACUGACUACCUUCAGGGCAAAAAGGAAGAGAGGCACUCCAGAUCAGAGAUCUGCAUUGGAAACUCCUUGAGAACCAGAAGGGUAUGCUAUAUUUUUGUAACUGUGAGUAGCACAGAAAGACUGAAGCCCAAAUAAACUUCCUUUAUUCAAUAUU
rnacentral:antisense_RNA from 1 species